GCCCUUGUAGCUUAGUGGUAAGAGCGCCGUGCUUAUAUCAAAAGGAUAUACCAGAGUCACGCGGAGGUCGCGAGUUCAAUCCUCGCCUUGGGCA